ensembl:lncRNA
AUGAAAAAGGCUUUACUGGUAUUCACAAAAAAAACAAUGAAAAGUAAAUGACAGGUCACUUUUUUUUACCAUAUUCAUCAAAUAUCACACAUGCACCUCCUCUGUAACAUACACGUGAAACCUAUGAAAAGUGCAAAUGUGCAAGAUUUCACAAUAAAUAUUAUGUACAUCCUCAUAAUUGUUUAAACACAAACAUUUUAACUCAGUGUACAUAAAAAUGUGCCACUUUGAUAUACCAUCUUUCCAAAAAGCUGACACACACACACACACACACAAUGUAAUGACACACCACACAGUAAAGUCGCUGCAAAUGAGUGGUUCAAAUCUAGUGGUUUCGUUUACAAAAGAAGGCACACACAGUUUUUUGUUGUCGUCGUCACUAACCGGUAAACAUGGUACUUGUGCACACGACAUUCAAAAAGGUAUUUAUAUCGGUGGGGGGCAUCACUAAAUUCAGAAAUAAAUUCAUAAAUGAAAUUCAAAAUUCAAUGUAUGCAGACAAACUUAUAUCAUGCAUGCACCCUACAUAUGGCUCUUGAGCUAUCAUAAAGAGGUCCAAAGGAUAAUUUUAACCUUUGCGUCUUACUCUGCCCUGGCAAUAACAACGGGAACGAACCUCAAUAUUAUUAUUUUCAACUAAAUUAUGAACUCUGGUGGAGACAAGGUGUCAUUGCACGCUGGUUUGCUCCUGCGCUGGUGUACCUAGAGUUAAAAGGGGCACUGUCACAGCAACAUUUUACCGGGGCAAAUUUUGUACCGCCUACGUAAUCUGCGUUCAAAAAUUCCAAACCUACCUGGCAACGGACGAUCGCGUCGAACGUUGCCUGGAAACGGACGAUCGCGUCGAACGAUGACGUAAGAAGGUUCAUGAACAUUCGCGCUCAUUCAUUGAGCGUCACAAGACGAAAUAACAUUAAACAGAUAACACUUAUUUUACAAAUGACAUUUAUUUGCGUUGCUAACUUUAUAUUUGUAUUGUAUGUAAUUGUUUAGUCGCAUUUAGCUAGUAAACUGAGUAUCAACACAAGCUAGCUAGACUAUGAUACACUUGAAACACUCAGUUUACUAGCUAAAUUCAAUACAAUAAAAAUAUAAAGUAAAAAAAAGUGUUAUCUGUACGAUGUUAUUUUGUCUUUGGCGACAUGAGUGCGAAUGUUUUUUGAAGCCUGCCUGGCAACGGACAAUCGCGUUGAACGAUGACGUAAUGUUUCAAACAUGAAUUAUGUAGGCGGUACAAUUUUCGCCCCUGGUACAAUUUUGGUGUGACAGCACCUUCCCGUCGUAUUCACAUCAUCAUUCACAUUUUUUUUUUUUUAAAGGGCCACAGACACGCAGAGAGUCUUCCAGAAUAGGCUUCCGUUUUCCUCACUCGGAAGUUUAAAAUAAAGUGCACGUGCUGGAGCGUGCACCCCUGCGUCUGGGAGGCGGGGGCGGGGCCUGAGGCGGGGGAGGGGCCACCGAGGGGCCGGCGGCUGCAGGGACGUGGAGGUCUGGUUUCUCGGGCGGCUCGGACCGGUUCAGGGAGAGCGGACGGAAGAGGGAAGGCUGGGGAGAAACAAAAUGGUGAAUGUUUCUUUAUGAUGGGCGGGGGUUUGAGACAGGCUGGGAUUGAUUGGGAUCCGGGUUCGAUGCCCGAUUGUAUGUAGUGCACAUGUUUCUUCUGAGAACGCAGCUAGCUACUGCUAGUACAUUUACGAAUAGCAUAAUUCGCUAACAAUGCUGUGCUUUAUGAAUCAAAUAGCACUUUAUAUUUCAAUCUUUAAAGCUAAACAAAGCAGGUUUAAUUUAAU